GUGCCAGCAGCCGCGGUAAGACGGAGGGUGCAAGCGUUGUUCGGAAUUACUAGGCGUAAAGAGCGUGUAGGUGGUUAGCUAAGUCGGAUGUGAAAAUUCCGAGCUCAACUCGGAACCUGCAUUCGAAACUGGUUAACUUGAGUGUGGGAGAGGAGAGUGGAAUUCCUAGUGUAGCGGUGAAAUGCGUAGAUAUUAGGAAGAACACCAGUGGCGAAGGCGACUCUCUGGCCUAAAACUGACACUGAGACGCGAAAGCGUGGGGAGCGAACAGGAUUAGAUACCCUGGUAGUCCACGCUGUAAACGAUGGGCAUUAGGUGUAGGAGGUAUCCAAUCCUUCUGUGCCGAAGCUAACGCAUUAAAUGCCCCGCCUGGGGAGUACGGUCGCAAGGCUGAAACUUAAAGGAAUUGGCGGGG
rnacentral:rRNA from 1 species